GACGAACGCUGGCGGCGUGGAUUAGGCAUGCAAGUCGAACGGUAGGAUACCUUCGGGUAUCUGAGAGUGGCGAACGGGUGAGUAACACGUAGGUGAUCUACCCUCAAGAUUGGGACAACCCAGGGAAACUUGGGCUAAUACCGGAUGAAAGCAGCAGUGAUGUUGUUUGAAAGGUGGCGUAAGCUGCCGUUUGGGGAUGAGCCUGCGCUCUAUUAGUUAGUUGGCGGGGUAAAGGCCCACCAAGGCGAUGAUAGAUAGGCGGCCUUAACGGGUGGUCGCCCACACUGGGAUUGAGAUACGGCCCAGACUCCUACGGGAGGCAGCAGUCGAGAAUAGUCUACAAUGGCCGAAAGGCUGAUAGUGCGACGCCGCGUGAACGAAGAAGCCCUUCGGGGGUAAAGUUCUUUUAUAUGUGAGCAGUGCUUUCUAUGUGAACAGCAUGGGGAGAGAGGAUAUUAGCAUAUGAAUAAGCAACGGCUAACUCCGUGCCAGCA
rnacentral:rRNA from 1 species